AUUGAACGCUGGCGGCAGGCUUAACACAUGCAAGUCGAACGGAGUGGCGGACGGGUGAGUAAUGUCUGGGAACCUGCCUGAUGGAGGGGGAUAACGUCCGGAACCGGGCGCUAAUACCGCAUACUAUCAGAUGAGCCUCGGUCGGAUUAGCUAGUUGGUGGGGUAAAGGCCUACCAAGGCGACGAUCCGUAACUGGUCUGAGAGGAUGAUCAGUCACACUGGAACUGAGACACGGGCCAGACUCCUACGGGAGGCAGCAGUGGGGAAUAUUGGACAAUGGGCGAAAGCCUGACCCAGCCAUGCCGCGUGUGUGAAGAAGGUCUUCGGAUUGGAAAGCACUUUAAGUUGGGAGGCGUUACCAACAGAAUAAGCACCGGCUAACUUCGUGCCAGCCGCCGCGGUAAUUC
rnacentral:rRNA from 1 species